ACUUUACACCCAUAGACGGUGGAGCAGAUUUGGCACCAGGACGGAGCAGUGGGACUGCGGGGCAGACAACACGGAGGAGCGGGACGGAGGGGCAAAUACUGAUAGGCUGCGGAGGAAAUGCACAGAGCAACGGGACGUAGAAGCAGGACGUGGAAGAGCCAGCUCAAACGCGGAGGAGCCAGUCCAAACACUGGCAAACAGUGCACCAACGCAGAGCUGUGGGGCCAAACACUAACUCUGGACCAGGCUGCUUAGAGGUCUUUCGAGCUUGUUGAAGGUAUCUACACAGAAAUUCAGCUUUUGGAUCUGGAGGAUCUCAACCACCAUCUUCCAUUGGUUGCAUACACAGUGGCAGGGAAGAAUCUGGUGACGCCAAAAGUGUGCCUGCUCCAUUGAUGUCACACAAAAUGGCUGGAUUGUUGCUGUUGGUGAAAAUCUCCCCCAAAAUGACUCGCAAACUUGCUCUUGCUGAAGUUCCUGAAUCUGUUGAACACUUGGAGAACAGCCUUCGUGAAAAACUGCAACUUCAAGGCAGCUUCACAAUCCAGUAUGAGGACCCAGACUUUAAUAAUGCCCUCUGUAA